GUUCUUGCUUCGGCAGCACAUAUACUAAAAUUGGAACGAUACAGAGAAGAUUAGCAUGGCCCCUGCACAAGGAUGACAUGCAAAUUCAUGAAGCAUUCCAUAUUUUU
ensembl:snRNA U6 U6 spliceosomal RNA